rnacentral:rRNA from 1 species
GAGUUUGAUCCUGGCUCAGGACGAACGCUGGCGGCGUGCUUAACACAUGCAAGUCGAACGGAAAGGCCCUGCUUUUGUGGGGUGCUCGAGUGGCGAACGGGUGAGUAACACGUGAGUAACCUGCCCUUGACUUUGGGAUAACUUCAGGAAACUGGGGCUAAUACCGGAUAGGAGCUCCAGCUGCAUGGUGGGGGUUGGAAAGUUUCGGCGGUUGGGGAUGGACUCGCGGCUUAUCAGCUUGUUGGUGGGGUAGUGGCUUACCAAGGCUUUGACGGGUAGCCGGCCUGAGAGGGUGACCGGCCACAUUGGGACUGAGAUACGGCCCAGACUCCUACGGGAGGCAGCAGUGGGGAAUAUUGCACAAUGGGCGGAAGCCUGAUGCAGCAACGCCGCGUGCGGGAUGACGGCCUUCGGGUUGUAAACCGCUUUCGCCUGUGACGAAGCGUGAGUGACGGUAAUGGGUAAAGAAGCACCGGCUAACUACGUGCCAGCAGCCGCGGUGAUACGUAGGGUGCGAGCGUUGUCCGGAUUUAUUGGGCGUAAAGGGCUCGUAGGUGGUUGAUCGCGUCGGAAGUGUAAUCUUGGGGCUUAACCCUGAGCGUGCUUUCGAUACGGGUUGACUUGAGGAAGGUAGGGGAGAAUGGAAUUCCUGGUGGAGCGGUGGAAUGCGCAGAUAUCAGAGGAACACCAGUGGCGAAAGCGGUUCUCUGGGCCUUUCCUGACGCUGAGGAGCGAAAGCGUGGGGAGCGAACAGGCUUAGAUACCCUGGUAGUCACGCUGUAAACGGUGGGUACUAGGUGUGGGGUCCAUUUCCACGGGUUCCGUGCCGUAGCUAACGCUUUAAGUACCCCGCCUGGGGAGUACGGCCGCAAGGCUAAAACUCAAAGGAAUUGACGGGGCCCCGCACAAGCGGCGGAGCAUGCGGAUUAAUUCGAUGCAACGCGUAGAACCUUACCUGGGUUUGACAUGGAUCGGGAGCGCUCAGAGAUGGGUGUGCCUCUUUUGGGGUCGGUUCACAGGUGGUGCAUGGCUGUCGUCAGCUCGUGUCGUGAGAUGUUGGGUUAAGUCCCGCAACGAGCGCAACCCUUGUUCACUGUUGCCAGCACGUUAUGGUGGGGACUCAGUGGAGACCGCCGGGGUCAACUCGGAGGAAGGUGGGGAUGACGUCAAGUCAUCAUGCCCCUUAUGUCCAGGGCUUCACGCAUGCUACAAUGGCUGGUACAGAGAGUGGCGAGCCUGUGAGGGUGAGCGAAUCUCGGAAAGCCGGUCUCAGUUCGGAUUGGGGUCUGCAACUCGACCUCAUGAAGUCGGAGUCGCUAGUAAUCGCGGAUCAGCAACGCUGCGGUGAAUACGUUCCCGGGGCUUGUACACACCGCCCGUCAAGUCAUGAAAGUUGGUAACACCCGAAGCCGGUGGCCUAACCGUUGUGGGGGAGCCGUCGAAGGUGGGACUGGUGAUUAGGACUAAGUCGUAACAAGGUAGCCGUACCGGAAGGUGCGGCUGGAUCACCUCCUU